rnacentral:lncRNA from 1 species
UAUAAAAUCAGAACCAUGGUAUUUUUUAUUUUUAUAUGGUCUGCAAGAAUUCAACUGGGAGGAUCAUAAGGGCAUUUUAAGAUGUGAUUAAUAUUUCAGAUGUAUGAUUAGAGUGUUCUCCUUGAAUAUCAUGUAUUGGUGAGGUUUUGCAACUUUUAUUAUUGGAACUUAACUGUGAUUAGAAACUAAUCAAUAAAUAUCGUUACAUUCCUUGUGAUAUUGAAAUAAAUUAUAUUGACACUGC